rnacentral:pre_miRNA from 1 species
GACCGCGACUAAAGGGUACCCUUUAGUCGCGGUUGUUGUCCCCAACCGCGACUAAAGGGUCUUUCUGCGCGGGAGCGAAAGCGGCGCCAAAACCCUUUAGUCCCGGUUGGGGAGGCGGACCGCGACUAAAGGGUACCCUUUAGUCGCGGUU